rnacentral:rRNA from 1 species
UUAAAUUGGAGAGUUUGAUCAUGGCUCAGAUUGAACGCUGGCGGCAGGCCUAACACAUGCAAGUCGAACAGUAACAGAAAGCAGCUUGCUGCUUUACUGACGAGUGGCGGACGGGUGAGUAAUGUCUGGGAAACUGCCUGAUGGAGGGGGAUAACUACUGGAAACGGUAGCUAAUACCGCAUAACGUCGCAAGACCAAAGAGGGGGACCUUCGGGCCUCUUGCCAUCGGAUGUGCCCAGAUGGGAUUAGCUUGUUGGUGGGGUAACGGCUCACCAAGGCGACGAUCCCUAGCUGGUCUGAGAGGAUGACCAGCCACACUGGAACUGAGACACGGUCCAGACUCCUACGGGAGGCAGCAGUGGGGAAUAUUGCACAAUGGGCGCAAGCCUGAUGCAGCCAUGCCGCGUGUAUGAAGAAGGCCUUCGGGUUGUAAAGUACUUUCAGCGGGGAGGAAGGGAGUAAAGUUAAUACCUUUGCUCAUUGACGUUACCCGCAGAAGAAGCACCGGCUAACUCCGUGCCAGCAGCCGCGGUAAUACGGAGGGUGCAAGCGUUAAUCGGAAUUACUGGGCGUAAAGCGCACGCAGGCGGUUUGUUAAGUCAGAUGUGAAAUCCCCGGGCUCAACCUGGGAACUGCAUCUGAUACUGGCAAGCUUGAGUCUCGUAGAGGGGGGUAGAAUUCCAGGUGUAGCGGUGAAAUGCGUAGAGAUCUGGAGGAAUACCGGUGGCGAAGGCGGCCCCCUGGACGAAGACUGACGCUCAGGUGCGAAAGCGUGGGGAGCAAACAGGAUUAGAUACCCUGGUAGUCCACGCCGUAAACGAUGUCGACUUGGAGGUUGUGCCCUUGAGGCGUGGCUUCCGGAGCUAACGCGUUAAGUCGACCGCCUGGGGAGUACGGCCGCAAGGUUAAAACUCAAAUGAAUUGACGGGGGCCCGCACAAGCGGUGGAGCAUGUGGUUUAAUUCGAUGCAACGCGAAGAACCUUACCUGGUCUUGACAUCCACGGAAGUUUUCAGAGAUGAGAAUGUGCCUUCGGGAACCGUGAGACAGGUGCUGCAUGGCUGUCGUCAGCUCGUGUUGUGAAAUGUUGGGUUAAGUCCCGCAACGAGCGCAACCCUUAUCCUUUGUUGCCAGCGGUCCGGCCGGGAACUCAAAGGAGACUGCCAGUGAUAAACUGGAGGAAGGUGGGGAUGACGUCAAGUCAUCAUGGCCCUUACGACCAGGGCUACACACGUGCUACAAUGGCGCAUACAAAGAGAAGCGACCUCGCGAGAGCAAGCGGACCUCAUAAAGUGCGUCGUAGUCCGGAUUGGAGUCUGCAACUCGACUCCAUGAAGUCGGAAUCGCUAGUAAUCGUGGAUCAGAAUGCCACGGUGAAUACGUUCCCGGGCCUUGUACACACCGCCCGUCACACCAUGGGAGUGGGUUGCAAAAGAAGUAGGUAGCUUAACCUUCGGGAGGGCGCUUACCACUUUGUGAUUCAUGACUGGGGUGAAGUCGUAACAAGGUAACCGUAGGGGAACCUGCGGUUGGAUCACCUCCUUACCUUAAAGUAGC